rnacentral:lncRNA from 1 species
AUAUACAUAAAUAUGUAUACAACAUUGUAUAUAAAGUGAUAUCGUUUGUGUAUUUACAAACAUAGUAUACAUCGAUAUUAUUAUAAAACACAAAUGUGUUGAUCUAGCAGCGAACAUCCAACGGAUCAAGAUAAAAUAUUAUUGUAUAUAGGUAACUCAUAAGUUAACUGAAUGAUAAGCCUUUUUUUGACCUGCAUUCAAUAUUGUAUGUGUGGAGGGGAAACAGUUAACAAUAACAAUUAGUGGUGGGACAAUCAAACGGGAUCCGGUGUUUUUUUUGGAAUGGGGAAUAAGGUGUUUUUCCUUGAAUCAGGAUCGGUAUCAGGAAAGUGAUGUUUAAUUUGCGAUCCCAAUUCUUAUUUAAUUACUGGUAUUUAACUAUUUAUUACUUUUCCAAGUGAUGAAAAAAAAAACA